GGAUUCUAAAUUAAACUAUUCUUGG
rnacentral:tRNA from 1 species